CGGCGCCCAUUGGCUGCUGUGCGCCUCUGCAGCGCGGGGCGCGGCGUCCGGGCUGGGGAGGGAGGCGGGGGGCGCAGCCGCGCCCUCCCGCGCCGGAAAGGGGGCGGGCGACGCGCCGAGGUCCCCCCCGGCCGGCAUCACCCGGCACGUCCCCCACGUAGGGAGCGGCGCGCACCGUCACGCGUGGCGGCGCCGUGCCCGGGCGGAGGUGCGGGGCGCAGGCGGGAGGCACCGCCCGGCCCCGGGGACCCGGGGGAGCGGGCCUUUUCCUCGGAAACGAGGGCGGGGGCCUGCAGAAGUGGGCGUGGAAAGCGAGCGGAAGCGGGCGCGCGGAGGGGCGGCCCUCGCACCCGGGUCUCCGCUCCUGGUCGCCCUCGCGGGGCCGGGCAUCCUUCGCAGCCCUGGCCACCCGGUCCCAGUCUCCGGCUGGCCGAUUCGGCUGCUCCAGCCCACGGCGCCCGCCCCUGAGCCGCCGGCUUCCCCGAGGGCUCGCGCCCGCUGCGCGGGACCUGGUCCCCAGGCCUCAUCUGGUUCUUGGACCGUACGAGGAGCUGGGGGACAGCUCGGGCCCCCUUCUUUUCCACUUCCCUAGAGGAGGUUAGGUGGGGUGGGAGGGACCCGGCCGUCCGAAGGGGCCGGACAGGGAGUGCAGUGACGGAGGUGUGUACGCUGCUACUGGGACGGACAGCAAGAUUAACCGCCUCAGUGUGCUGGGGGACCCCAGGAAUGCGGCGCCUACAAACCGCCGUGUAGUGAGCUCAGGCCUAUAAGGAAGUGGUCGCCGUCCUGACUGAGCAGAGAAUUUCCCAGUGGCUACUCAAUGCCAGCCUCUGUUUUUGGCCUUGGGGACAACAGGAAGAAGAAGGCCCAAGUCCUUAUUCCUGUGGAGCACCCAUUCCAGCCAACAGGAAGAAGAGAAAACAAGCUCUCUGGAGAAAGACAAAUGGGAACGCCGUCACAGAUGUGGGGAAAAUCUAAUUCUGAAUCUGUAUCCGUCUGCUCUGUCUGGCCAAAAAGAUUUUGGGAGAAAUAAAUGAUAGGGUUAGAAAACAGGAAAUGUGGGUGAAGGUGCUCUCAAAGGCAAAGCCCGUGGGGCUCUCAUGAGGACAGCCUACCUUGUCCUAUGGUUGCCGGUCUUGCCUAGUAAACUUGGAGGAGGAGUGGAGCCUCCAUUGCCCCAGGUGUUUCCGGGGCUGGCCCACGCAAAGACACAAGACAGCUGCCAACUCCAGAGUUCCGGUUCUGGUUCAGGGAUUCUAUGAUGCUGUCAAUUACUUGGAAUGUACAGAGUUGCUUGGAUACCUCGGGCUCCUUGUACAAGUCGGAGAGCAGAGCUGGGAGAGAAGUCGUGUGGGUGACCUGCUCCCACCUGCCAAGCAUGUGCUCGGACCAGAGGGGGACCCCCUCCAGGAGAACCAGGAGACACAGGGACUGGACACUGAGGGUGUCUCACAAGGAAGACGGAACUGGAGAAACAGCCAGGACGGCCAGGUUUUCAGUUGACUAACACAGACGCUGAUAUGGACAAGCCUUUCCCCAAAGAGAAUACAACCUCACAACACAAGGAAGAUAAACACAGCGAGUCCACACAUUGCUCCAGAGAGGUGGAACCUCAGACUACAAAGCAGGUAACUUUGGUAAACCAGGACCUGCUCACAGCAUAGCUACCGUAUACGCUCACCAAACGCAGAAGAGCCACCUGCCAGGGUCCUCGGCUCCCUCAUCUGUCCCCAGGCCCAGCUCACCUCUCUGUGUUUCGGACUCAGGCUCCUCCACUCUCCGGGUGAACGUCCUGCUUCCGCAAACGGGGACACUCAGCGCUGGGAAUCUUCACCUCCGGAAGAGGACGCCGACGCCGACAGCUCUUGUGGGGUGGGAGUGGCGGACAGAUCAAGACCAGCCCAGAGCACCUCGGGCGCUGUUCUUUCCAUCCCGGUCUUCACUUUUUUCAAAGCAAAUUUCUCCAAAAGCUUCCUUAUUCGAUCAUGCCUCCCUCCAAUAAAAAUGCAGUAAGGAUGA